AUAGAUAAUAGUUCAUGUUCAGGUAAAAUCUGUUCUCAGCUGUGUUUACCGAAACCAAACAAUAAAUAUGUUUGUGCGUGUGGAGAUGACCUGGGGUUGGAUUCUAAGACUGGGAUAUGCAAAUGUGUUGGUGGCCUAAUAACUCUGAAGAAUGGCACAUGUAUAAGAAAAGGUGAGUCGUGCACAGGCAUUUUUUAGGUUAAUUUUAACCUGAAUGAGCUGAAAUGCUAACCAGACUGGUUGUAUUUCCACUUAACAUAAUCUGGAUGAUUAAUUCAGCCAAGUCUGAUGAUAAUUCAGCCAAGUCUGAUGAUAAUUCAGCCAAAUCUGAUGAUUAAUUCAGCCAAGUCUGAUGAUUAAUUCAGCCAAGUCUGAUGAUUAAUUCAGCCAAGUCUGAUGAUAAUUCAGCCAAGUCUGAUGAUAAUUCAGCCAAGUCUGAUGACGGUUCAGCCAAGUCUGAUGAUAAUUCAGCCAUAAUCUGAUGAUAAUUCAGCCAUAAUCUGAUGAUUAAUUCAGCCAUAAUCUGAUGAUUAAUUCAGCUCAUAUUCUUAAUUAGACUUGUUUAUACGUGUCCACCACGCAUGCCUUUCUACGCCAGUUCUCACAGACAGCUCUUAAGUUCAUUUGUGUGUUAUAAAGGACUACCUAAGAAUACUUUCCAAUAUUUAGUGUUUCAGGGAAAUAUGACAUUUUAAAGUUAGCAGUCUUUUGUCAUGGCAUUUUUUAGGCAUUUUUCAUGGCAUUUUUCAUGUUCUUUUUCAAUAUAGCUGGGAAGUCAUGUGCAGCUCAUGAAUUUCCAUGCAGGAAUGGAAGAUGUAUACCAUUUGAUCUGAAAUGUGACUUGCACAAUGACUGCGGAGAUUAUUCAGAUGAAGAUACUGGAUGUG